rnacentral:lncRNA from 1 species
CUCUCUCUAGCUUGUUUACGCAGUUCAUUGGGAAGUCGAGGGUCAAGCUCGCGUGGAGUCUUCGCUUGCUAGGAGGAUCGUUCGUGCGCGAGGAUCAUCUCGGGUGAACCGUUAGAGGUCUAGCGAGCACAUGGAGUUUCUCCUUUCGACUUCUUGUCGACAUUGGAUAAGCGAUCGAGGGGGGUUGAUGUUUACCGAAAUCGUCGGAUUUCUUUCUAAGUCGAGUGUCAGCAUGUAUGGUAUUAUGUGUAGUAUCAUGGUUAAUA